rnacentral:rRNA from 1 species
CUCCGUUGGUGAACCAGCGGAGGGAUCAUUACCGAGUUAUACAACUCAUCAACCCUGUGAACAUACCUAAACGUUGCUUCGGCGGGAACAGACGGCCCUGAACGAUGGGCCGCCCCCGCCAGAGGACCCCCUAUCUCUGUUGCUAUGUGUGUUUUUUCUGAGUAAACAAGCAAAUAAAUUAAAACUUUCAACAACGGAUCUCUUGGCUCUGGCAUCGAUGAAGAACGCAGCGAAAUGCGAUAAGUAAUGUGAAUUGCAGAAUUCAGUGAAUCAUCGAAUCUUUGAACGCACAUUGCGCCCGCCAGUAUUCUGGCGGGCAUGCCUGUUCGAGCGUCAUUACAACCCUCAGGCCCCCGGGCCUGGCGUUGGGGAUCGGCGGAGCCCCCCUGCGGGCACACGCCGUCCCCUAAAUACAGUGGCGGUCCCGCCGCAGCUUCCAUUGCGUAGUAGCUAACACCUCGCAACUGGAGAGCGGCGCGGCCACGCCGUAAAACACCCAACUUCUGAAAGUUGACCUCGAAUCAGGUAGGAAUACCCGCUGAACUUA